rnacentral:rRNA from 1 species
UACGGAGGGUGCGAGCGUUGUCCGGAAUCACUGGGCGUAAAGGGCGCGUAGGCGGCUUCUCAAGGGUGUGGUGAAAGUCAGGGGCUCAACCCCUGAUCGGCCGUGCGAACUGGGGAGCUUGAGCACUGUAGAGGCAGGCGGAAUUCCGGGUGUAGCGGUGGAAUGCGUAGAGAUCCGGAAGAACACCGGUGGCGAAGGCGGCCUGCUGGGCAGUUUUGCUGACACUGAGGCGCGACAGCGUGGGGAGCAAACAGG